UACGUAGGGUGCAAGCGUUGUCCGGAAUUAUUGGGCGUAAAGAGCUCGUAGGCGGUCUGUCACGUCUGCCGUGAAAACCCGAGGCUUAACCUCGUGGCUUGCGGUGGAUACGGGCAGACUAGAGGUAGGUAGGGGAGAACGGAAUUCCCGGUGUAGCGGUGAAAUGCGCAGAUAUCGGGAGGAACACCGGUGGCGAAGGCGGUUCUCUGGGCCUUACCUGACGCUGAGGAGCCGAAAGCAUGGGGAGCGAACAGG
rnacentral:rRNA from 1 species